rnacentral:rRNA from 1 species
UAUGUGACCUCAAAUCAGGUAGGA